CCUCAUGCCUACCCACAGAAACUCAGACAGCCUCCUGGGGAAAAUGGCUUUAAGUUGAGUGGUCUGAGCUCAAGAUUCGCCCACUACUGGCAGGGAAUUCAAAAUGAAAAUAAGGCUGAGUCACAGAGAAUGAAGACCGUCCUGUGUCUUGCACACUUGAAUUUAUGAACUGAGAGUUGUGCUGCUUACACAUUCAUGCAAAGGAGUUCGCACAGUGCUGGGCACCACCAGGUUCUGGCUGCUGUGUCCCAUGUGGUUGGGAUGCCGUGGUGGGCCCAGAGCCGGAUGGGAUGCUGAGCUGGGACUCUCUAUCAGGUCCCGGUCACCUUCCCUGCUGAGGGCAUCAGACCCUGAGACCUGGAGCUUUCAGCCUGACGUCUGGCACAGCCUCAGACGCAGUGAUCAUGGAGCAUUCUCUGGGAAGAUGGGCCUCAAUUUUGUCCUGCCCUAGCCUGGAAAACACAGAGAACUCUGAAGAUAGCCUAGCCUGAGUUCACCAGAGCCAUGGGGAGGAGCCAGCCCAGGUAUCAAAGAGGCCCUCCAGAGUCCUCAAUCUGUGAUAGCCCUCCACCUAGCUAUUCUCUCACAAAGCACCUGGCUCUUCUCCUUCUGAGCACUCAUCCCAAGGGACAUCCCUGUUCUUCCAGCUCUGCUCAAACUCUGCUGAAGGACUUUGGUUCUCUGCCCUUCACAUCGUUUCCCUGAGAUGUUGCAUUCCUCUGCUAUCACUCUGAUCCUAAUAGUCACAGUGAACAA